rnacentral:misc_RNA from 1 species
GAUGAAGAACGCAGCGAAAUGCGAUAAGUAAUGUGAGUUGCAGAAUUCAGUGAAUCAUCGAAUCUUUGAACGCACAUUGCGCCCCCUGGUAUUCCGGGGGGCAUGCCUGUCCGAGCGUCAUUACAACCCUCAAGCUCAGCUUGGUGUUGGGCCCCGCCGCCCCGGCGGGCCCUAAAGUCAGUGGCGGUGCCGUCCGGCUCCGAGCGUAGUAAUUCUUCUCGCUCUGGAGGUCCGGUCGUGUGCUCGCCAGCAACCCCCAAUUUUUUUUCAGGUUGACCUCGGAUCAGGUAGGGAUACCCGCUGAACUUAAGCAUAUCAAUAAGCGGAGGA